rnacentral:ncRNA from 1 species
GAUAGAGGUCGCAUCUUACAUGAGUAAGCAUGGUCAGGGAGUCGGCUCCUGCUUCACCCAUGCCAAAAGGGAAAGUUGCCGAAGGUCCACUCUGCCGACAGGGCUGGUCCUGGUCGUCUGGUGAACAGCCAGCCGACUGUCAUCAGUGGAUCUGAUGGAGCGCUGUCUG